AUGUUUCUUUUUUUAUUCCUAGAUUUUGAGCAUCUUGAAGGUUCAUCACUUGAUUUUCACUACUACAUCAUGUUUUAUGUUACAACCCGUUUGAAGAGGAAUUUCAGAGAUAUCUUCCCGCUUAUAUGGAAAUUUUGCAGCAAGUGGAUUCCAUGGAUGUCUUUGAUGAGGGCCAACGCUGCACCAUCAUGGAUGGACGGGACAGCUUGGAGGCGGACCGACGCCUACACCCCAACCCUCGCUGGCACCCAUGCUGAACGACGCCGUCGGCGCGCCAACGCCGGACUUUGCACGGAUACCUCAUCUUGGACUGAUGCUGCCGGGGCAGCAACUCCACACCACCACAGUCUGGAGUCCUGGGUACUGCCAUGGGAGUGA
rnacentral:rRNA from 1 species